GUGCCCGUAGCUCAGCUGGAUAGAGCAACAGCCUUCUAAGCUGUGGGUCACUGGUUCGAAUCCAGUCGGGCACG
rnacentral:tRNA from 1 species